GGGUUGUGAGGUUAAGCGACUAAGCGUACACGGUGGAUGCCCUGGCAGUCAGAGGCGAUGAAGGACGUGCUAAUCUGCGAAAAGCGUCGGUAAGGUGAUAUGAACCGUUACAGCCGGCGAUGUCCGAAUGGGGAAACCCAGUGCAAUUCGUUGCACUAUCGUUAACUGAAUACAUAGGUUAACGAGGCGAACCGGGGGAACUGAAACAUCUAAGUACCCCGAGGAAAAGAAAUCAACCGAGAUUCCCCCAGUAGCGGCGAGCGAACGGGGAGCAGCCCAGAGUCUGAAUCAGCUUGUGUGUUAGUGGAACGGUCUGGAAAGUCCGACGGUACAGGGUGAUAGUCCCGUACACCAAAAUGCACAGGCUGUGAACUCGAAGAGUAGGGCGGGACACGUGGUAUCCUGUCUGAAUAUGGGGGGACCAUCCUCCAAGGCUAAAUACUCCUGACUGACCGAUAGUGAACCAGUACCGUGAGGGAAAGGCGAAAAGAACCCCGGCGAGGGGAGUGAAAAAGAACCUGAAACCGUGUACGUACAAGCAGUGGGAGCACCUUCGGGUGUGACUGCGUACCUUUUGUAUAAUGGGUCAGCGACUUAUAUUCUGUAGCAAGGUUAACCGUAUAGGGGAGCCGCAGGGAAACCGAGUCUUAACUGGGCGUUAAGUUGCAGGGUAUAGACCCGAAACCCGGUGAUCUAGCCAUGGGCAGGUUGAAGGUUGGGUAACACUAACUGGAGGACCGAACCGACUAAUGUUGAAAAAUUAGCGGAUGACUUGUGGCUGGGGGUGAAAGGCCAAUCAAACCGGGAGAUAGCUGGUUCUCCCCGAAAGCUAUUUAGGUAGCGCCUCGUGAACUCAUCUUCGGGGGUAGAGCACUGUUUCGGCUAGGGGGUCAUCCCGACUUACCAACCCGAUGCAAACUACGAAUACCGAAGAAUGUUAUCACGGGAGACACACGGCGGGUGCUAACGUCCGUCGUGAAGAGGGAAACAACCCAGACCGCCAGCUAAGGUCCCAAAGUCAUGGUUAAGUGGGAAACGAUGUGGGAAGGCACAGACAGCCAGGAUGUUGGCUUAGAAGCAGCCAUCAUUUAAAGAAAGCGUAAUAGCUCACUGGUCGAGUCGGCCUGCGCGGAAGAUGUAACGGGGCUAAACCAUGCACCGAAGCUGCGGCAGCGACACUAUGUGUUGUUGGGUAGGGGAGCGUUCUGUAAGCCUGCGAAGGUGUGCUGUGAGGCAUGCUGGAGGUAUCAGAAGUGCGAAUGCUGACAUAAGUAACGAUAAAGCGGGUGAAAAGCCCGCUCGCCGGAAGACCAAGGGUUCCUGUCCAACGUUAAUCGGGGCAGGGUGAGUCGACCCCUAAGGCGAGGCCGAAAGGCGUAGUCGAUGGGAAACAGGUUAAUAUUCCUGUACUUGGUGUUACUGCGAAGGGGGGACGGAGAAGGCUAUGUUAGCCGGGCGACGGUUGUCCCGGUUUAAGCAUGUAGGCUGGUUGUCCAGGCAAAUCCGGAUAAUCAAGGCUGAGGUGUGAUGACGAGGCACUACGGUGCUGAAGUAACAAAUGCCCUGCUUCCAGGAAAAGCCUCUAAGCAUCAGGUAACAUUAAAUCGUACCCCAAACCGACACAGGUGGUCAGGUAGAGAAUACCAAGGCGCUUGAGAGAACUCGGGUGAAGGAACUAGGCAAAAUGGUGCCGUAACUUCGGGAGAAGGCACGCUGGUGUGUAGGUGAAGCCCCUGCGGGUGGAGCUGAGACCAGUCGAAGAUACCAGCUGGCUGCAACUGUUUAUUAAAAACACAGCACUGUGCAAACACGAAAGUGGACGUAUACGGUGUGACGCCUGCCCGGUGCCGGAAGGUUAAUUGAUGGGGUUAUCCGUAAGGAGAAGCUCUUGAUCGAAGCCCCGGUAAACGGCGGCCGUAACUAUAACGGUCCUAAGGUAGCGAAAUUCCUUGUCGGGUAAGUUCCGACCUGCACGAAUGGCGUAAUGAUGGCCAGGCUGUCUCCACCCGAGACUCAGUGAAAUUGAACUCGCUGUGAAGAUGCAGUGUACCCGCGGCAAGACGGAAAGACCCCGUGAACCUUUACUAUAGCUUGACACUGAACAUUGAGCCUUGAUGUGUAGGAUAGGUGGGAGGCUUUGAAGCGUGGACGCCAGUCUGCGUGGAGCCAACCUUGAAAUACCACCCUUUAAUGUUUGAUGUUCUAACGUUGGCCCCUUACCGGGGUUGCGGACAGUGUCUGGUGGGUAGUUUGACUGGGGCGGUCUCCUCCCAAAGCGUAACGGAGGAGCACGAAGGUUAGCUAAUCCUGGUCGGACAUCAGGAGGUUAGUGCAAUGGCAUAAGCUAGCUUGACUGCGAGCGUGACGGCGCGAGCAGGUGCGAAAGCAGGUCAUAGUGAUCCGGUGGUUCUGAAUGGAAGGGCCAUCGCUCAACGGAUAAAAGGUACUCCGGGGAUAACAGGCUGAUACCGCCCAAGAGUUCAUAUCGACGGCGGUGUUUGGCACCUCGAUGUCGGCUCAUCACAUCCUGGGGCUGAAGUAGGUCCCAAGGGUAUGGCUGUUCGCCAUUUAAAGUGGUACGCGAGCUGGGUUUAGAACGUCGUGAGACAGUUCGGUCCCUAUCUGCCGUGGGCGCUGGAGAAUUGAGGGGGGCUGCUCCUAGUACGAGAGGACCGGAGUGGACGCAUCACUGGUGUUCGGGUUGUCAUGCCAAUGGCACUGCCCGGUAGCUAAAUGCGGAAGAGAUAAGUGCUGAAAGCAUCUAAGCACGAAACUUGCCCCGAGAUGAGUUCUCCCUGAGACUUUAAGUCUCCUGAAGGAACGUUAAAGACGAUGACGUUGAUAGGCCGGGUGUGUAAGCGCAGCGAUGCGUUGAGCUAACCGGUACUAAUGAACCGUGAGGCUUAACCUUACAACGCCGAAG
rnacentral:rRNA from 1 species